rnacentral:rRNA from 1 species
CCCUUAGCUGUUCUGGGCCGCACGCGCGCUACACUGAUGCAUUCAACGAGUCUAAAACCUGCUCUGAUAGGGGUGGGUAAUCUUUUGAAUGUGCAUCGUGAUUGGGAUAGAUGAUUGCAAUUUUUCAUCUUCAACGAGGAAUGCCUAGUAAACGCAAGUCAUCAGCUUGCAUUGAUUACGUCCCUGCCCUUUGUACACACCGCCCGUCGCUCCUACCGAUUGAAUGAUCCGAUGAAUAUCAUGGAUUGAGGAUUAUAGCAGGUUCGCCUGUCUUGAUCUUCGAGAAGUGAAGUAAAUCUUAUCAUUUAGAGGAAGGAGAAGUCGUAACA